rnacentral:lncRNA from 1 species
GGCCGAUAGGAUACAUUUGCAGAUAAAUAACAUCUAAGCACCACGCUCACAUGUGAUCUAUCACCUAACUCCCUCGCGUCAAGAGCUAAGCGCUUUGCAACCUUAUACACAAACUCAUUAUCAAUCAUAACUAUAUCAAAUAUAGAACUAGAGCAAACUAAGAACAUAAUAAUUAGAGACAUAAUGCAAUUAGAACAAAGAAUUAGAGAAAGAUAUGAAUAAUACCAAUCUUUAUUACCGAAGAUCCGACUCCAGAGCGUAGUGCUCUACUUCUCUAAUUGCUAUCUAAUCAAACCUCUAAACUUGAAGGAUUAGGGAGUAGCUAAUUCUAAUUCUCUGUGGGAGAGAAGCUCUAAACCCUAACUUUGAUGGCUACCUCUGAAUAAUGAUUUCUUCUCUUCUCCUCUCUCCUCCAGGGGCCAGGGGGUCUAGUUUUAUAGUCCCCUCAAGUGAACGUGAGCCAUUGGAUCAAACCGACAUAGAUUGUAUGGUUUAGAUUGAUCCUUUUGGUCGGUGGAGUUUAGCCCCGAAAGAGAGUCCCGAUUGGGGUCCAACCCAGGGCGGGCGCCCUGCCUCUGGCCCCGUUCGGCCUCCGCUUCCUUCCCGUGGUUUCUGUACUCUUCUAGAUUGAAGAAAAUUGCGCGGCACGUAAUUAUCUCAUUGUAAACAUGACAUGUGGGCCUUCUCUCCAUAUUCUCUGAUAACCCCCUGCAGAAAUAGAUAAACACCAAAACUCGUGGAAUUCUGUCAGAUAAAACCCUAAUUCUAGAUGUUUGUUUCAUAUUGAUCCUUUUUCAUGUUUAUUUGAUUAUUAAUUUUAGUACUUAAGGACCGUCAACAAACUCCCCCAAGCUUACCCUUUGCUCGUCCCUGAGCAAAUAGCUAAACUCAGACGGAUCAGGAGUUGCUUCGAUGUUUUCUUUCCUGACAGGCACACAUGCUUUUACAUAAAACUUCUUCCAGAUUAGAGUGAAGUGUUAUGGAGUUUAGUACCUACAUUUAAGUCUUUAAGUAAUUGAAAGACAAAAUAAUUAAGUCAAGCACUAAUCCUCCUAUUUAUACUUCACCUUUGUUCCAGAGUUUUUUCAUAAGUUUUCAAAAUAAAACUCAGAGUUCCUAGCAAUGAUUCUCUCAAGUCUCUCUAUAUGUGGUAUUUGUGGAUCCUUACCAUAAUGUCACUUACCUAUAGCUAAUGCAAUAUUUAAGUGGAGCUCAUAGGCGUGAGAAACAGCUUAUACAUAUGUUGUCUAAUCGAGCAAAGGAUCCAAAGGAACUCAACAUAUAAUUAAAUCAAGAUGUGCAUGUGUGGUGGAGUAGAUGAUAGUGAUAGUGAAAAUGUAUAAGUGAUAAUAAAACUUAGUUCUCAUUGCUCCUCAUAUUGCUAUCUCUCCUCUUCUUUGAUCUUUGCUUUGGGAGAACAUGGGCUAUCUUUUUCUUUUCUCUUUUUUUCAGAUGGGUAGUAGAUACCCCUAAUUCUACUAUCGGACACUUAUCCAUUUUUUCCGCUCAAGUGGGCAUCUUUGUACCCCUAAUUCUACUCCGGACACUUGUCCAUUUUUACCUCUCGUCUCACUCUUUUUCUUUCUUUUUCGAGGUUCCGGGCACUUGCCCCUUUUUAUUUCCUCGUAUAUUUUUGCAUAACCCAUGCCUCUUCUGCAUUGAAUCUUUUUAGAGAGAGAGAAUAACAAUAUUUGGGACAAUGAGUGAUAAUAUUUUUAGCAAUUUUAAUGAGUGGUGAUGGAUGGUGUAGUAGAUGUGUGCAAGUGAAUAUCUUAAUUUAACCACAUGAAAAGCUCCUAAGGGUCAACACAGCUCGAUCAAACUCAAUGUGAAUAUAAGUAAAAGAUGUUAUAGCAAGUAUGGCUGUGGUAGGUAGUUUUGUUAUGCUAGGAACUCAUCAUGUGAUUUGUAAGUUUUCAAAAUAAAUCUCUAGAACUUAGUGUAGUAGGAACAGGAUAAACAGUAGCUCAACUUUAUAUUAUGCCUUUCUCCUUCCUAGACUUUAGUUUUAUGCUUCCCAAAGAUAGUAAUUUUAGUUUUAAUAAUUCCUGGAAGAACUCUAGUAUAAAAGCUAGGUACUUGAAAGUAAGCAAACAAAGCAGCUAUUCAUCAUUUCCAUCAUGUAUCUUUUUGGCCUUUUUAUUUUUCUAGAGAUUAAGACUUAGCAGAUAAAUAAAGCACACUUAUCUACACACUCUUUUUAUUUUGUUUUCAUGUUUAUAGAAUGCAGUAAAUUAAAGCAAGAAAAUAUUUUUUGGGUUUUCUAAGUUUUUUCCUUUUAAGAUAAAAAACUAAAAUAGAAAAGAAUAAAUAAGAAGUGCAAAUAAAAACUUACUUGAUAAAUUGGGGAGGAACUCCCCCAAGCUGGAUGUUGCUGUCGGUCUUACGCGAUGUUCCAGAACCGCAUCAUGGUUGUGAUGUUGUCGUUCAUUGUUGUUGUAUCUUGUCUCAGCUCUUCUACUGCAGCGGCAUGGUCCUGGUUCCAUUUUUGUUGCUCUUCCAGGAGUCGUCCAUGUUCUGCUUGCGUGUUCUGGAUGUCGAGGAGAGUGUUGUCGGUACGGGUGAAGAAAGCACCGGCCUCUUGAUAGUAGUCAUUUGUGAAAGCGUAGGAGGCGUCGGAGUAUCGUCCUGCAUCAAAUUGGGGCAGAGGUCUGGAUCCUGAAGCUCCAUAUGGAUCAGUGGAGUACCUCCCCGUAUGGAAAGGCGGGUUUGUCCACUGGUGAUCUUGGCUCUCCGGCCAUGUCUCCUCUGUUGGCUCUUGUGGUUGCGCAUGUCGAACCCAUGGGUCUCGAAGGACUCGGGGGUUGUAAUCGUAAUAAUGCAGGUGCGCUGCUUCUUCUGGUCUGGAAUCAGCUCCAUACCAGGUGCGUUCUCGAUGGGUGGUCAUCCUUUCAGAUGCCACUCGCUGUGGAGCUCUCUGGUUCACUGGUGUUGCUGCAAUCUCAAUCAAAAGAUUUUGAACAAUGUAGAGGCCAAGGUUCGGGUUAGGUAACCGAAUCUUGCCUUUAUCAUCAUAUAGCAUAUAUAUUAUGUUCUCCUCUUUCUUUAACAUCCGAGCUUGUCUAAAUGUGUCAUAGCCAUGGUAAAUUCUUAAUUCCUCUAUGAAAUCCAACGAUGAGUUUUCUAGUAAGUGAAGAUUAAAGGCUAGACGAGUGAUAAGUGAAGUACAUCCUACUGGUCCCUGCAGACUAGGUACACUAAGCCAAUGUGAAACUAAAAGUGUAACAGGUGAAGUAGGUACUUUAUUAAUAGCAGCAUAUAAAAGUUGUAAAUCUCCUACUCUUACUUUCCUAAUAUCACCACGAUAGAAAAGAUUGUACCCAAGCCAUUUGUGGAACAUUCUAAGAGUGGGGUGUUCCAUGUCAUUGGUUCGGGCUUCACUAUAAAAAUUAUCUCUAGAUAUUUCUCUCUAAAACUGGUGUCUCUCGAAAUUGGGUAAAUCGGAGUCAAUGUUCAGGAUGCAUCUUGAAGAGAAACCAAGAUGGUCGCUUAGUUCUCUCCAAGACAACAUAAUCUCCUGUUUGAACAUCCGAAAAACAAUUCCCCCCUCAUAAUAUUGUAAGGUGCAAAGAAAUUCGAGGGUGAGAAGACGAGAACCCAGCUCAGUUAUGUUCCAAAAAUUUGUCCAACCUAACAUCUGGAAAAUUAAGUCAAAUUCAGUGUCCAUACCUGUUUCUUGUAGUAAGAUUGGAUCAAGAGUAGGGGUGUGAAUGAAAUCUUUGUUCUUCAGUUGCUGAUAUACUUCUUUCUCCCUUCGCGUCUUCAGUCCAAGGUCUCCUAUCUUGAGAAGGACCUUGACUUGCUGACCUGAUGAAGAUGACGGAGCUUGUGUGGGUGUCGGGUCGACGCUCAUCUCUGAUGGGUGUGAGGAGUGUCGGGAUGAACUCCUUGUACCAAUGUUCUUGAGAGCCUUUCCUGCCUUCUUCACCUUCUUAAACAUCUUGUAAACAAAAGUUGGCAAAAACACAACUAGUGGAAAAUGUGAGAGAAAAUGUUAGUGGUCAGCUGCCCGGAAUGUCUGUAGUCCUCGGGUUAGUCGUUCAAGAUAAGUUUCUAUUUUGGCAGAACCUCCCCCUAAACAACUUUUACUUCCGCUUAGACAACAGGAUCACUACUUGCUAGGUGAUACUCACUCUCUAUCAACUUCUUUCCCACUCUUCUCUUUCUCUCUACUCUCUUCUCUCUUCACUACAAGAGCUCUUUCUGGAAACUGAUACUUGUGUGGUUUUCUGGAGUGCUUGUGUCGAGAGGAUGGAGGUAGAAGGUGGCUAUUUAUAGGAGGAAAAGGGAGCAGGGUAGGCGCCCUUGGUAGGUGGGCGGGCGCCCACUCCUGGUGUCCAUCCUGGGUGUGCCUCCUCCACUUGCUUCCUUGCUUUGAUCUCACGCAGAAUAAUGUUGUGUGGUGGUGGUUGGAUGGCGGAAAGAUGUCUGGUGAGUGGAAACAUAUUGGUGGAUGAAAUUAUGUGAUGGGAUGUAUGUGAGGUGUGGUGUAUGACAUGUGGGACCCAAGGAGUGUGGGUCAUGCUUCUAGAAGAUUACUAUUAUUAGAUAUAAUGCAGGAAAAUCUAUGAUAAUUGAAACUUAAUUUAAAAUAAUAAUGGAAAAUAUUUUUGUGCCUUCACAAUAAUUAAUAAAUAUGGGUUGUUACACACCAUAAAUAUUAUUUAUAUGGGGCUUUUUAUUAUAAUAAUGCUAUGAAUAAAUAUGACUAAUGCAAGAUUUAAUUAUGCAAGAAUUUAAAUAUGAGAAAAUUAAUAAUGCGGAUAAAUAACGAUUUACCUCCCGGUGAGGGUUUGGGAUUUUUAGGUCCCCCAAGCUGGACCUCCAAAUCUUCUGAAUUACCUUCCUCCGGAGAUGGUGUCUCCAGUGGUUCUUCAUGAACUUCCUUCACUGUAGAAUCUCUCUUUGGUCUGGGUUUGAAUGUGAAGUAUUCUUCUUGUCCGUUUAUGUUGAACUUGAUUUCUCCUUUCCCGACAUCAAUGUGGGCAUUGAUAGUGCUCAGAAAUGGCCUUCCAAGGAUGAUGGACACUUUUGAGUCAGGACUCAUGUCCAAUACUACGAAGUCUACUGGCACCAGGAAAUCUCUGAUCUUGACUGGAAUGUUUUCGACGAUACCCAACGGGUGUCGAACCGAUUGAUCCGCUAGUUGUAGACACAUUGAUGUUGGUUCUAGGGUCGCAUGCUCAAGCUUUUUGUAGACUGAUCCUGGCAUCACACUGACACUUGCUCCGAGAUCACAAAGUGCAUUGUUGAAGUGUUGGUUUCCGAUCGAGCAAUCAAUAGUGGGGCAUCCUGAAUCUUCCUUCUUCUUUGGUGGUUUGUUAAGGAUGGCCGCACUGCAUUCUUCUGUCAGCUUGAUAACCUCAGUGGUGGGCAGUGGUCUCUUCUUGUUAAGAAUAUCUCUGAUGUACUUUGCAUAUGUAGGUACCUGUAUGGCAUCGAGCAGAGGUAUGUUGACAUAUAAUUUCUGAAUGACCUCUACAAACUUACCAAACUACUCAUCUGACUGCAGUCCUCUGUUUCUUCUAGGAAAUGGCAAAUAGUUGGUGUCGUAAAAAUCUUUCCUCAUUUCUCUAGUUCUUGGUGGUUGGAGCAGAUCUUCUGCUUCAACUGGGCAUUCUUCUUCUAUCACUGCUGGUUGCACUGGUGCUGAUGUUCUUUGUUUCUCUUUUGGGUAUGGGGGAUCUCUGGUGGCUUUUCCUCCUCUAGUAGUUAUAUUCUUUACCUGCUCAAUGUUAGUAGCAACAGGCAGUGCAGCAGCUAUCUUUAUUAAUUUAAGCUCUACCCUUUUAUUAAGAGUGUUUUGCUCAUCAAAGGCAGUUAGUAGAAAAUACAUUUUGUUGUGUAUAUCUUUUAGGGAUGAUUCAUUUGUAUCUAGCCUUUGUUUAACUUCGUCAUUAAUUUUGGUUUGUUGAGCAAUUAUCUCUUUUAAUGAAAGUUGCUUGAAAGUAUUACCUGAAUUCAUACCUUUGCUAGUGGGUUGACUCGAGGUAGGUUGAUAUUUGUAUGUUGUCUCAAUGGCCCUUUGAUCUUCUUUGAACUUGGCCCUCUGGUCAAUCCAAUGGAGCAAAUUUUCCAUCUUAGUUGAUAAUGCAUUUACUUCUUCUGGUAUUUCUUCAGUUUGAUGACAUUGUUGAGCUUUAUCUUGGAACCAGCUUUGAUUUUCUGCUAUCUUAUCCAAAAGUAUCUCUACUUUUCCAAUUGUAAGCUCCAAGAAUGAUCCUUUAGCAGAUGCAUCUAGGCACUCACGAGCCUUCUGGGUUAAUCCAUGGUAGAAGGUCUGCAUAAGUAACCAUGUGGCCAUUCCAUGGUGAGGACAAUCUGAUAUGUAUCCUUGAAAACGCUCCCAUGCUUCUGAAAUGGUUUCUGUCUUCUGCUGUUGGAAACUGACAAUAUUUCCUCUUAAGGCAGUUGUUUUGCCUAUAGGGAAAAACUUCGAUAGAAAGACAUCUGACAAGUUCAUCCAGUUGUUGAUGUUAUCUUGAUGAGUGUAGAACCACUUCCUCGCUUUCCCUUCUAGUGAGAAUGGAAAAAGGCGAAGCAGUAUGACGUCUUUGUCAACUCCGUUGAUGUGGAUUGUGCUUCCAAUCUCUAAGAAAUUCUGCAAGUGUGUGUUAGCAUCUUCAUGUGCCUUUCCACUGAAUUGUGUAGCUUGUACCAAAUUGACGAGGCUUGACUUGAGCUCAAACUCGGGUAUUCCUUGUUCUACUGCAAAUCUUGGACCAGUUGGAAUGUUCUCAAGGCUUGGAGCAGAGAAUUCUUGUAGGGUCUUCUGUGCCAUAGCUUCAGCAAUUGGUAGCUAGCUUCUUCUUCUCUUGAUUGCUUUGGUUCUGAUGAUGAAGAGUUGAAUGUACCCAAAGUCAAUCCUGAUAUACCCUGUAUAAAAAUGUAAACAUAGAAAAACAACAGGGUGAACCUGCCAAAGCAGAGGUGCCUUGUUAUGAUUUCUCACUUAGUAGCUGUUUUAUGCAAUUAUUUCUCUAUAGUCUAGUCUAAUGUUUUAUGUGAAUAACCUUGACUGAUUUUCUGACUUUCCUUACCGUUCCUAAGUAUUACCCUUUUGUUCCCCGGCAACGGCACCAGAAAUGCUUGUUGACACUAGCUAACACCACUUAGAUACUAGGUUGUCAUCCCCAGCAUGGUGCCAGAGUGUACAAAGGUAUUUAUAAAUGUAAAGGCUCUCUAGAAAAUAAUCUAUUCUAUCCGCAAGCGCACAGAUAAAACACCUCAUUGUAGCAUUUCACCAGGAUAAGUAUUCCAGGUAUCGUUAUUUAUAAUUUUUGCUUAAGAGAACAAAAGGGAUGAAAUUAAAUUAAGGACAAAAUCUAUCAAGGCAUAGACUAGAGAUAAACUUGCAAGAACAUGAUUACUAAUGAGAAACUCGUCACACAGUCACUUACUUUAGCAGGGGGUAAACCAUAAAGAUAAUGAUAAUGAAUUAUAAGUUCAAGGGAUAAAUAACACAGCGAUUAGAAAAUAGACUACUCCUCAUAUAUGUAGGUGAUGUCGGAUUAGCAGAGAAUGGAUUCUAAGUUAUCUACUAACUACUAAGUCAUAAUCUACUCUAGUUAUCUACAAGAUCAUAUAUAGCAUAAAAGACUCUUCAUUCAUGUGUAAGGAACAUUGCUAAAGUAAUUCAGAGCAUCGCAAGACUUACUCCACAGUACCGGUUCUGCCUGUCCUAUCAACGGAGGGUGGACUAUAUAAGAAUCAACGAAGCUGUCACUAUCGCAAACUACCACACGACCCAGCCAAUAGGAUACAUUUGCAGAUAAAUAACAUCUAAGCACCACGCUCACAUGUGAUCUAUCACCUAACUCCCUCGCGUCAAGAGCUAAGCGCUUUGCAAACUUAUACACAAACUCAUUAUCAAUCAUAACUAUAUCAAAUAUAGAACUAGAGCAAACUAAGAACAUAAUAAUUAGAGACAUAAUGCAAUUAGAACAAAGAAUUAGAGAAAGAUAUGAAUAAUACCAAUCUUUAUUACCGAAGAUCCGAAUCCAG